UAAGCGGAGGAAAAGAAACUAACAAGGAUUCCCCUAGUAACUGCGAGUGAAGCGGGAAAAGCUCAAAUUUAAAAUCUGGCAGUCUUUGGCUGUCCGAGUUGUAAUCUAGAGAAGUGUUACCCGCGUCGGACCGUGUAUAAGUCUCCUGGAAUGGAGCGUCAUAGAGGGUGAGAAUCCCGUCUUUGACACGGACUCCCGAGGCAUUGUGGUAUGCUCUCAAAGAGUCGAGUUGUUUGGGAAUGCAGCUCAAAAUGGGUGGUAAAUUCCAUCUAAAGCUAAAUAUUGGCGAGAGACCGAUAGCGAACAAGUACCGUGAGGGAAAGAUGAAAAGAACUUUGGAAAGAGAGUUAAACAGUACGUGAAAUUGCUGAAAGGGAAACGCUUGAAGUCAGUCGCGUCGGCCGGAAAUCAACCUUGCUUUUGCUGGGCGUACUUUCUGGUUGACGGGCCAGCAUCAGUUUUGACCGGUGGAAAAAGUCUAAGGGAAUGUGGCAUCUUCGGAUGUGUUAUAGCCCUUGGUCGUAUACAUCGGUUGGGACUGAGGAACUCAGCAUGCCGCAAGGCCGGGUCUUUGACCACGUUCAUGCUUAGGAUGCUGGCAUAAUGGCUUUAAUCGACCCGUCUUGAAACACGGACCAAGGAGUCUAACAUGCCUGCGAGUAUUUGGGUGGAAAACCCGAGUGCGCAAUGAAAGUGAAAGUUGAGAUCCCUGUCGUGGGGAGCAUCGACGCCCGGACCAGAAGUUCUCUGACGGAUCUGCGGUAGAGCAUGUAUGUUGGGACCCGAAAGAUGGUGAACUAUGCCUGAAUAGGGUGAAGCCAGAGGAAACUCUGGUGGAGGCUCGUAGCGAUUCUGACGUGCAAAUCGAUCGUCAAAUUUGGGUAUAGGGGCGAAAGACUAAUCGAACCAUCUAGUACUUGGUUCCU
rnacentral:rRNA from 1 species